rnacentral:pre_miRNA from 1 species
UUUAUACUCCCUCUGUUCGGAAAUACUUAUCGGAGAAAUGCAUAAAAAUGAAUGUAUCUAAAAGUAAAAUACAUCUAGAUACAUCCAUUCCUCCGACGAGUAUUUCUGGAUGGAGGGAGUAACUA